UCCUUCUUUUACAGUUAAAUAUUGUAUCACCAUUUUUAUUAAUUUAUGUGGCUCCUACGUAACUCCAUGUGUAUAUAUUUUAUUAUAAUUGUAAUUUUAUUUUCUAUCUAGUGAAUUAUCCGACACAUUUAUACAAUCCAACUAAAAUAAAAAUCCAUAAUCCGACUCCAAUAUCCAUUAGCCCAUAAUUUAUAUGUCUAUCAUCUUGCAACACUUUGUAGAGGAACUUCAAUCACAUGUUGAUUGAGACUAUUUGAGAGAGAAGAUUCAAUAACAGAUUUUGUGCGAAACAUGUUGAAGCAAACUGGUGCAAAACAUGGAGGUCAGAGGAACUGCAGAAGGUAUUUUGGUGGUGUUCAUGGACAACCACAUAUGAGGAAGAUAUCAAAGACAAACUCAAUAUGAUUGGUUCUUUAGAUAAAACAAUAGCUCAGGAUUUACUGAAAUAUCCUCCCAAUGUGUGGUGUAGAGCUUAUUUUGACAUCGUGUGCAAGAACUAUGAAGUGGUUAAUAAUUUCACAGAAUUGGUGAAUAAAUGGAUUCUAAGCUAGAGGCAAACCAAUCAUCAAAAUGCUUGAAGAAAUAAGAACUAAAGUCAUGAACCAAUUGAGGAAAAGGGAGGAUGAAGUGAGAUUAUGGGCUACUGAGUUUAGCCCAAAGAGUGUGCAAUUGUUCAAUGACUACAUGAAAAUUGCUCAAAAAUGUAAGGUAAAUUUCAAUGGUGAUUAUGGAUAUGAGAUCACAGAAGGUUGUGAUAGGCAUACUGUAAAUAUGAUUUUGAAGAGAUGUACAUGUAGGCAAUGGGAUCUAAAUGGAAUUCCAUGCCCACAUGCAAUUUCUACAAUGUUGUACAACAAGUUGGACCCUUCGAGUGAAAUGAGUUGGUGGUGUAGAAAGAGGCAUUCCUGCGUACCUAUAGGCACAAAUUGCAACUUAUUAGAAGUGAAAAUUUUUGGAAGGUGGAUCUACAUCAAGCAAUGGAACCACCUCACCUAGUGAAGAUGGUUGACAGACCCAAAACUAAGCUGGUCAGAAAAAGAUGAGGCAAUUAAGAGGCAAGGGGAAUGGGCAAAUUAAAGAAAGGGGAGAGUUAUGACAUAUAACAAUUGCGGAGAGCCAAACCACAACAGUAAAGGAUGUAAAAAGCCUGUCAAUACAAGGCCAAUGAAAAUGAGCAGGAAAUUAAUUGAUGAACUUGAAGAGAUAAAUCUAAUAGCACCUCAAUUAAGACCAAGCAUUUCAAAUCAAAUUCCAAAUUUUGAGUUAUUUGAAACUUCAAAACAAAGAUCAAGCAAGCCAGAUGAUACUACAUUGCAACAUACCAUUCAUCCAAAUUUGACAAUCAACUUCCCAAAUCAUGAUUCAGAUCCUACUAUAAGGCCAAUGAUAGUGUCAGAAAACACAAUAUUCCGAGCCAGGCAAGAGGGAUCAAUUCCUUCAUGAACAAGGAUUAUAAACUUUGUUGGUGAUCACAAUGGAGUGAAUGUCCCUUCAAAUCUUCCCUACUCACCAACCAACCUAACAUGGAAGGGAAAAACUGCUAUAACUGAAGGUCAAUUGGAGAUGCAAAAUAGACAAAAAAUUAAGAAGCUGAAGCCAAGAAAAGGACAAAAGUGAUCUAUUGGGUUGAAAACUUUUUGUUGUCAUGGAGUUUAAUUACUGACUAUGAUAUACUUUUUAGUUAAUGUCUUUUCAGUUUACUUUUUUUUGUGGUAAACGUUGAACAGGAAUAUCACAUUUAUCCCACUUUUGUAUAUCAAAAUAUGUGUUUGUA